rnacentral:rRNA from 1 species
UGGGGAAUAUUGGACAAUGGGCGAAAGCCUGAUCCAGCCAUGCCGCGUGAGUGAUGAAGGCCUUAGGGUUGUAAAGCUCUUUCGCCAGGGACGAUAAUGACGGUACCUGGAUAAGAAGCCCCGGCUAACUUCGUGCCAGCAGCCGCGGUAAUACGAAGGGGGCUAGCGUUGUUCGGAAUCACUGGGCGUAAAGCGCAUGCAGGCGGACUGAUAAGUCAGGGGUGAAAGCCCGAGGCUCAACCUCGGAACUGCCUUUGAUACUGUCAGUCUUGAGUCCGGGAGAGGUGAGUGGAACUCCGAGUGUAGAGGUGAAAUUCGUAGAUAUUCGGAAGAACACCAGUGGCGAAGGCGGCUCACUGGCCCGGUACUGACGCUGAGAUGCGAAAGCGUGGGGAGCAAACAGG